rnacentral:rRNA from 1 species
CCUACGGGAGGCAGCAGUGGGGAAUUUUGGACAAUGGGCGCAAGCCUGAUCCAGCCAUGCCGCGUGCGGGAAGAAGGCCUUCGGGUUGUAAACCGCUUUUGUCAGGGAAGAAACGCUCUGGGCUAAUACCCUGGGGUAAUGACGGUACCUGAAGAAUAAGCACCGGCUAACUACGUGCCAGCAGCCGCGGUAAUACGUAGGGUGCAAGCGUUAAUCGGAAUUACUGGGCGUAAAGCGUGCGCAGGCGGUCUUGCAAGACAGAUGUGAAAUCCCCGGGCUCAACCUGGGAACUGCAUUUGUGACUGCAAGGCUAGAGUACGGUAGAGGGGGAUGGAAUUCCGCGUGUAGCAGUGAAAUGCGUAGAUAUGCGGAGGAACACCGAUGGCGAAGGCAAUCCCUUGGACCUGUACUGACGCUCAUGCACGAAAGCGUGGGGAGCAAACAGGAUUAGAUACCCUGGUAGUCCACGCCCUAAACGAUGUCAACUGGUUGUUGGGAAGGUUCCUUCUCAGUAACGUAGCUAACGCGUGAAGUUGACCGCCUGGGGAGUACGGCCGCAAGGUUGAAACUCAAAUGAAAUUGACCGGNUGAGAGNGCGACGACGACGACGAGGGAGGAGG